rnacentral:rRNA from 1 species
UACGUAGGGUGCAAGCGUUGUCCGGAAUUAUUGGGCGUAAAGAGCUCGUAGGCGGUCUGUCGCGUCUGCUGUGAAAACUCAGGGCUUAACCCUGAGCUUGCAGUGGGUACGGGCAGACUAGAGUGCGGUAGGGGAGACUGGAAUUCCGUGGUGUAGCGGUGAAAUGCGCAGAUAGUCAGGAGGAACACCGGUGGGCGAAGGCGGGUCUC